AACGAACGCUGGCGGCAUGCCUAACACAUGCAAGUCGAACGGGACCUUCGGGUCUAGUGGCGCACGGGUGCGUAACGCGUGGUAACCUGCCCUUAGGUUCGGAAUCCCUCCCCGAAGGGGGUGCUAAUACCGGAUAAUCUCUUCGCACCAAAGAUUUAUCGCCUUUUGAUGGGCCCGCGUUGGAUUCGCUAGUUGGUAGGGUACAAGCCUACCAAGGCGACGUUCCAUAGCUGGUCGGAGAGGAUGAUCAGCCACACUGGGACUGAGACACGGCCCAGACUCCUACGGGAGGCAGCAGUGGGGAAUAUUGGACAAUGGGCGAAAGCCUGACCCAGCAAUGCCGCGUGAGUGAUGAAGGCCGUAGGGUUGUAAAGCUCUUUUACCCGGGAUGAUAAUGACAGUACCGGGAGAAUAAGCACCGGCUAACUCCGUG
rnacentral:rRNA from 1 species